UUCCCUUGAGGAUUGUUUGUCUUUAUUUGUGAAAUGUGCAUUUAAGGACGGAGAAGAUGAACAACAUCCAAACCUUUUAAAAAUUGGGGAACAGAUUAUUGAGAAAUGUGCAGGGGUUCCUCUUGCUGUGAGAAGUUUAGGGAGUUUACUGCAUUUGAAAAGGGAUGAACGGGAUUGGGUAUCCAUUAAAGAGAGCGAAAUUUGGAAAUUAGAACAAGAUGAAAAUAGGAUUAUGGCUGCAUUAAAGCUGAGCUAUUAUGAUUUGCCUCAUCACUUCAGACAAUGUUUUGCCCUUUGUUCGAUAUUUCCCAAAGAUUUUGAAUUUGAUAAUCGUCUUCUGAUCUCAAUUUGGAUGGCGCAAGGCCUCAUUCAAUCAUCGGGACAAAAUGCCAAAAUGGAGGAUAUUGGUGAGAACUAUAUUAAUGAACUAUUGUCGAGAUCUUUGUUUCAAGAUGUUAAGCAAAACGUACCAGGAGUAAUAUAUGCCUUUAAAAUGCAUGAUCUUGUACAUGAUCUUGCGAUAUUUUUUGCACAACCUGAGUAUGUAACACUAAAUUUUCACAGUAAAGACAUUUCUAAAAGGGUUCAACAUGUUGCAUUUUCUGACAAUGAUUGGCCAAAAGAAGAGUUUGAAGCUUUAAGAUUCUUGGAGAAGCUAAACAAUGUCCGUACCAUUGAUUUUCAAAUGGACAAUGUUGCUCCUAGAAGCAACUCAUUUGUUAUGGCAUGUGUCUUGAGAUUCAAAUGUAUGCGGGUAUUGGAUUUAACUGAAUCCAGCUUUGAAGUGUUGCCUGAUUCAAUUGAUAGUCUGAAGCAUCUAAGAUUCUUGAACCUAUCUAAGAAUGAGAGAAUCAAGAAACUCCCUAAUUCCAUUUGCAAGUUGUACCAUUUGCAAACUUUGAUGCUAGGUGAAUGUUCAGAACUUGAAGAAUUCCCAAGAGGCAUAGGGAGUAUGAUUAGUUUGAGGAUGUUGAUAAUAACAAUGAAACAAAAGGAUUUAUCGAGAAAGGAAAAAAGGUUAAGAUGCUUGAAUUCUCUUCAAUAUUUACAAUUUGUUGAUUGUCUCAAUUUGGAAUUUUUGUUUAAAGGAAUGAAAAGCCUUAUUGCACUUCGAAUAUUAAGUAUUAGCAAUUGCCCAAGUUUGGUUUCUUUGUCACAUAGUAUAAAACUCCUAAUUGCAUUAGAGGUUCUGGCAAUUAGAGAUUGUGAAAAAAUUGAAUUCAUGGAUGGAGAAGUAGAAAGGCAAGAAGAAGACAUUCAAAGCUUUGGAAGCCUAAAACUUUUGAGGUUUAUAAAUUUGCCAAAGUUUGAGGCUUUACCCAAGUGGCUUCUUCAUGGACCAACUUCGAACACUCUAUACCAUUUGCAAAUUUGGAACUGCCCGAACUUUAAAGGAUUUCCAAAUGAUGGCCUGCAAAAGCUCACAUCCCUUAAAAAAUUGGAGAUUAAAGAUUGUCCUGAAUUGAUUGGAAGAUGCAAACUUGAAACAGGGGAGGAUUGGCAAAAAAUGGCUCAUAUACCUGAAAUAUAUCUUGAUGGACAAAAAAUUGCAUCAUCAACCAAUAAUUAGGUAAGAGAGAAUUUUCAUUUUAGUCUAUUUUCUUAUUGAUUCAUUUGACAUUUUAUGAGCCUCAUUUAUCUAGUUCUUACUCUUACUUUUAUUCUUUCGAUUCAAAGUUCAAUGCUUGUGUAAGUUAUUUAAUUAUUUUUUCAAAUUGAGUUUCUCUUAUAAUUUUUUUAUGAUAUGUAUAAAUCAAAGUUCAUACUUUCUUUGGAAUAUAUUACCUUAACGUUACGUUGGUUCCAAGAAAGUAUUAAAUAAAUGAAAAAAUAUAUUUUUUUAAAUAUAUUUUUUUCAUAUUUGGUUUUAUCAUGAAAAAUAUGAAAAAAAAAAAUCGAACCUGAUUAAAGUUAGUUAGAAACUUAUAUAGUUUUAAAUUAUUUAAUUUUUAAAUAAAAGAUGUAAAAUGGGUUAAAUAAAAUAGAAGUAAUAUAUAAAAAUAAUUUAUUAACUUUAAAUCCAUUUUUUAUUUUUAUUCACUUUUUCCGUGAUAUUACGUUUGAAUCAAUUGUUGUAUUGAGAUAUCGACUUCAAAUGAAUGCUAGUAAAUGUCAAAGAUAAUUAUUUAUGCUAAAGAUGACCUUACACCGGAUACCAAACAACUCUCUCUGUCGAUUUUUAUAAGUGAUAGUGGACAUUCUCUUUCUCUAAUUUUUAUUUUUUAAUUUCUUUUCAUAAUUUUUAAUGAUAUUAAUCUUUCUUUUUUGUUCUUGGAAAAAUAAAAUAAAAAAUAAAAAAACAGGUGGUGUAGGAGAGAAAUGUGGUUCUACUGCGAUUGGAUGAGAGUUGAGCUAGACCUGGAAAACUGAUGAAAGCUACUGUUUUUCUCUUCGUUGCUUGGCCCCUGCUUGCUUGGUUGCUUUCUUUUGAUUUGUUUUCAUCAGUGGAUGCUGACUUCUUGAUUCCCAUUUGUGUUCAGUUUGGAAUAGUCUGUAUCCUUAUUGGCGGAGGAGAUAUCAUCUUUCUUAUCUACUUUCACCUUGACUUGGGGGAUAUUUCUUUCUUGCCUUUCUCUUGACUAAUUUGGUGUCAUCUACUUGAUUCUUCAUCUUUUGAAUUCAAGACUUUUAUUUGUCUCAUUUUCCAUGAUAUUAUAUUUGAACCCGUUGUUAUUGAGUAUUGACGACUGAUCAUAAUUGUUUAUGCUCUGAAACAAUCUUUUGGUGCAUGCCAAAAUAUUUAUUGAGAGAAUUGUUUUUAAAAAUAGUUUUCUGCUAUUUGAAACCACGAAUAAGAAUUUUAUUAUAAAAAAACUCAUUAGUAUUAUGUUUCUUUAAACUCAUUUUACUUAUUUUCUUUCCUGGUAUAAUGAUUAAAUAAUUUAAAAAUAUAUAAAUUUUUAAUUAAUUUUAAUUUUAUUUAAUUUUCUUUUAUAUUUUUCAUAAUAAAACCAAACAUAAGAAAUUCAUUUUACAUACCAUUUUUUUUUUCAUUUUUCUAAUAAUUUUUGAAAAUCAAUCAUAACUUAUAGAUUUAGAGUCUAGCUUAAAUUUUUUUUUUGAAUGGGUCAUAUCAUUUUAAUUAAAUAGUUAAACACUCUAACUAUAUUUCGUCUUGUUUUUCAACCUUUCCUAGACAAUUUCUUAUUCAUAUUGAAAGUAAAAUAUAUAUAUAUAUAUUUUAUAAAAAAAUGUAUAGGGUUGAGGAGAAGUAUUAUUAAUAUAUACUCUUUUUUAACAUAACACUUUUGAAUAAGACUUUUUUUUCAACAUAAAAUAUUAAAUGCAUUGAAAAAACAAAAUUUUGAUGAUCCUCAAUCUUCUCAAGAGGAGGCCUUUGGCAAUUGCUGUAGUAGCUUGAGAUUUUGGGUUGCCCUUUCCGUAACCAAAUGAUAAGCCACAGACAAGAUUGCUAGUAGUUUGGGAUUGAUUAUGACCUAAUUGUAUAAAUUAAUAAAAUUUACAAUUUUACCCAUAACUUUCUUGUCCUGCAAAAUUUAAAAAUAUACUUGCAUGGAUCCAACUACAUUCUUAGCCCUCAACCACACUUGUUGGUGCAAGCAUCAUAUAUUUCCUAGGGACUUUAAGUAUUCAAACAUUUGACCAAAGGAGCCAAACCCCUCUUCUACUCAAAAUGUGCCAUGUUCAAGAAAAGAAUGUGGGAAUAUUUUGGUUGCUCACUUGUCAAGCACUGAAUCCAAUUCUAACCAUGUUCAUGGGUUUCUCACUUGUGAAGUAUGGAAUCCCAUCGAAAGAAUGUGACCAUAGACUUCUCACUUGUAAGAUAUUGAAUCUUUGGAGGAGAGUUGUCCAAAUUAAGCUAAGAUUGAUCUAGAAAAAUAAUAUUAAUGAAGAAGCCUUGGUUUAAAGCUUUGGAUCUUUUAUUUCUAAUAUUGUCUACAUUGAUUGAAAACAUAAAAUUUGUUAAAGAUUAAUUACAAGCAUUAAUUUACCAUGUUCUAAGUUUUGGAUCACAUGCUAAUUGCGUUAAUUUUAUAUAGUCUAAAAGAUUGUGAUUAGUAAUAAUGAAAUCCAAGAGAACCAAGUUGACUGCCCUAAAGAGAAUUUAAAUUGCAUAGGAUCACAUGUUUACAUUUAAGCAUGCAUUUAAUAGCAAAAAUUCAAUCGUUACCUUGGUUCAUGCUUUGGAAAGCCAUUUCUUCUCCCUUUGAUAUCCAAUAAUCUGCUUUCCGGGUGCGUGAUGGUCCGAGAAUGAGGGAUCAAUGAGCUCUUCCCUUGUCUCCCAAAAAUCAGUUCAAAGUGGAGUGUGUGAGUGUGUUGCCGGGAGUGCUCUUCAAAGAGAAGAAAAUAGGAUAGCUCUCCAAAAUGCACACACAUCUAUAUAUAUAUAUAUAUAUUGCACAUUACACACUUUAGUUGGAAGACUUGACUUAAUGGGUCAGUCAAGUGAAUUAGAGUGAGCCCAUAAAAAAUCAAGCAACAAUAUGUGUCCAGUCCCAUUAUGGACCACAAUACAAAAAAUAAAGUAAUACUGAUUUAUGAUAUUAUCAAAUUGAUUAUGUAACUCCACACAUAAAAAUUCCCUGCAUAUUUUUCUCGACAAAUAGUCGAAAUUAACCCCUUCUUGAUUUUCUUUUAGAAAGAAAAUUUCUGCCACUCAACACACGUACAUUUAGUAUUGGGUGAAGGGUGGGCAACCAAAUUGUUUUUCCAAGUGCCUUUGGGUAAAGGACAUCGUCCAGAACCAAACAAGACUUUGUGAUCUAACUCUCAUAAAUUUUACAAAAAUUAUUCGUCGUCCUAAUCGUUUUUCCGCACAGCCAUUUCUCUUGUGGUUUCAAUUAGUCCUUGUGUCUCUGCAACAUGGCUGAAUCCUUUGCUUUUGCCAUAGCUGACAGAGUUUUGGGGAAGUUGGGCUCUGCCCUCAUCCAAGAAGUUGGCCUUGCUUGGGGUGUUAAAACCGAGCUGGAAGAGCUCAACGAUACUCUAUCCACCAUCCGAGCGGUGCUCUUAGAUGCAGAGGAGAAGCAAGCCACCAGCCAUCAGCUGAGAGAUUGGCUGGGAAAGCUCAAAGAUGGCUUUUAUGAUGCUGAAGAUAUUGUCGAUGAAUUUGAAUAUGAGGCCUUACGCCAGAAAGUGGUGGCUAGUGGGAGCUUUAAAACCAAGGUAUGCAGUUUCUUUUCAAGUCCAAAGUCACUUGCAUUCAAUCUUAAGAUGGGUCAUAGGGUGAAGAAGAUAAGAGGGAGAUUAGAUAAAAUUGCAGCUGAUAAGUCAAAAUUUAAUCUCAUCGAGGCUGUUGCAAACACGCCUGUUGUGCUAAGCAAGAGGGAGAUGACCCACUCCUUUGUCCGAGCUUCCGAUGUUAUCGGGAGAGACGAUGAUAAAGAAAAUAUUGUUGGGCUUUUGAUGCAACCUAGCGAUACUGAGAAUGUUUCUGUAAUUCCCAUAGUCGGGAUUGGGGGGCUAGGCAAGACAACUCUGGCUGGACUUGUGUAUAAUGAUGAGAGAGUAGUGGGGCAAUUCUCCACUAAAAUGUGGGUUUGUGUGUCAGAUGAGUUUGAUAUUGAAAAGCUGGUAAAGAAAAUCCUUAAGGAGAUCAGGAAAGGUGAUGAAAGUUACAGUGACUCCUCCAUGGUGCAGUUGCAGAGUCAUCUUAGAAAUGCAUUAGAUGGUGAAAAAUUCUUGCUGGUUUUGGAUGAUGUGUGGAAUGCGGAUCGUGAGAAGUGGCUUAAGCUGAAAGACUUGCUCGUGGACGGUGCCAAUGGAAGCAAAAUUCUUGUAACUACACGCAAGAAGUCAACUGCUUCAAUCAUGGGCACUUUUCCCAUGCAAGAAAUAAAGGGUCUUUGUCAUGACGAUUGUUUGUCUUUAUUUGUGAAAUGCUCAUUUAGGGACGGAGAAGAUGAGUAUCCAAACCUUUUAAAAAUUGGGGAUCAGAUUGUUGAGAAAUGUGCAGGGGUUCCCCUUGCUGUGAGAAGUUUAGGGAGUUUACUGUAUUCGAAAAGGGAUGAAUGGGAUUGGGUAUCCAUUAGAGAUAGCGAAAUAUGGGAAUUAGAACAAAAUGAAGAUGGUAUUAUGGCUGCAUUAAGACUGAGCUAUUAUGAUUUGCCUUAUCACUUGAAGCAAUGCUUUGCUCUUUGUUCAGUAUUUGCCAAAGAUUUUGAAUUUAGUAAUGUUGAAUUGAUCUCAACUUGGAUGGCAGAAGGCCUCAUUCAUUCAUCGGGACAAAAUGCCAAAAUGGAGGAUAUUGGUGAGAGAUAUAUUAAUGAGCUAUUAUCGAGAUCUUUCUUUCAAGAUGUUGAGCAACGGAUACCAGGAGUAUUAUAUACAUUCAAAAUGCAUGAUCUUGUACAUGAUCUUGCGAUGUUUUUUGCACAACCUGAGUGUUUAACACUAAAUUUUCACAAGAAAGAUAUUCCUAAAAGGGUUCAACACGCCGCAUUUUCUGAUACCGAGUGGCCCAAAGAAGAGUCUGAAGCUUUAAGAUUCUUGGAGAAGCUGAAUAAUGUUCAUACCAUUUAUUUUCAAAUGGAAAAUGUGGCCCCUAGAAGCGAAUCAUUUGUUAAGGCAUGCAUCUUGAGAUUCAAAUGUAUACGGAGAUUGGAUUUACAAGACUCUAACUUUGAAGCAUUGCCUAAUUCUAUUGGUAGUCUGAAGCAUCUAAGAUACUUGAACCUAAGUGGGAAUAAGAGAAUCAAGAAACUCCCUAAUUCCAUUUGCAAGCUAUACCAUUUGCAAUUUUUGACACUCUUUGGUUGUUCAGAACUUGAAGAAUUACCAAGAGGCAUAUGGAGUAUGAUCAGUUUGAGGACGGUAUCUAUAACAAUGAAACAAAGGGAUUUAUUUGGAAAGGAAAAAGGGUUGAGAAGCUUGAAUUCUCUUCAACAUUUACAAAUUGUUGAUUGUCUCAAUUUGGAAUUUUUGUCUAAAGGAAUGGAAAGCCUUAUUCAACUUCGAAUAUUAGUCAUUAGCGAUUGUCCAAGUUUGGUUUCUUUGUCACAUAAUAUAAAAUUCUUGACUGCAUUAGAGGUGUUGGUAAUUGACAAUUGUCAAAAACUUGAAUCCAUGGAUGGGGAAGCAGAAGGGCAAGAAGACAUUCAAAGCUUUGGGAGCCUACAAAUUUUGUUCUUUGGUGAUUUACCACAAUUGGAGGCUUUACCGAGGUGGCUUCUUCAUGGGCCAACUUCUAACACUUUACAUCAAUUACAUAUUUCAAAUUGCCCAAGCUUGAGAGCAUUGCCAGAAAGUGGGUUGCAAAAGCUCGUAUACCUUCAAAAACUUGAGAUUGAAGAUUGUCCUGAAUUGAUUGGAAGAUGCAAAACUGAAACGGGGGAAGAUUGGCAAAAAAUCGCUCAUAUACCUAAAAUAUAUCUUGAUGGAGAAAAGAUUGCAUCGUUAACCAAUAAUUAGGUAAGGGAGAACUCUUAAAUUCUAGUUUAUUUUCUUAUUAAUUUCACACGGCACUUUGUUACCCUCAUUUAUCUAGUUCUGAUUUUUAAUUUUAUUCUUUUAGUAUGAAGUGUAAUCCUCAAUGCGUCAUUUGGUUUAAUUGGUUUUUUAGACAAAAUUUCUAUUAUGAUUUUUUAUAACAUUUAUAAAUCAAAGUUUAUUAUUUCUUUAGUAUAUAUAAUCUUAAGAAAGAAGGGAAAAAAAAAAUGAAGCACAGGCAACCAAAUAAACUUUGAUGGGUAUUUCCAUAUAGAGAGAGAGAUAUAUAAAUGUUGGAAAUAUUGUUACCACAUUUGUCAUUUCUUGUAUCUAAUCAAAUGUGGCUCUUCUGCUUUGAUUGGAUGAUGCGGUUGGAAGUUGGAAAUAUUGUUACUAGAGUCAGACUAGUCAUUUCUUUUAAGUAUCUAUUCAUCUCGUUGCCUUUUCUAUUGAGAAUGUUUAAUUUGUCGAUUUUCCAUGAUAUUAUGUUUGAAUCUGUUGUUGAUAUUGAGAUAUUGGCAAUUAAUGAAAGGUAGCAUAUGUUAAGGAUAAUAAUUUAUGCUCUGAAGAUGACCUCUCCCGGUUGCCCAUUCUUUAAUAGUGACAGAGGCCAUGCAUUCUCUUCUUCUAGUUGUCAAUUUCUUUCCAUAAAAUUUUAAUGAUAUUGGUCUUUCUAUCUUGUUGUUGGAAAAUAAAAAUACAAACAGGCGGACUGGGUAAGAAAUGGAGAGUUGACCUGGAAAUGGAGGACUAAUCAAAUAUGGUUCUUCUGCUAUGAUUGGAUGAUGCGGUUGGAAGUUGGAAGUUGGAAGAGAGUUGAUGGAGCUGGAAAUGGAGAACUGAUCAAAGCUAGUGUUUGGGUCCUUGCUUGCUUACCAGUCUUUUUCUUGAUUCUUGACUUGUUGCCUCAGUGCUGAAUUCUGGAGUGGUGUGCUUGUUUAUUAUUUGUCUUAUUUUCACAUAGACUCAUGUGUAAGGUUGUUUUGGUUGUUUGGAGUUUGGAGUGUGAACUUUGAUUUAGUUUACAAUAAAAGAUUGAUGGAUUCAUUUAUCAAUCAAAUAUAUGAAUGAUAAUAUACGAUUCUAAUUUAGUUUACACAUUAUUGGUAAAAUAUAAAUGACAAUACACGAUUUUGAUUUGCCCGUAUUCAUAAUUUCCUCCUCCAACAUUCUCUAUAUAUAUCAUGCAUGGACGCACAUAUAUAUGAAUACGAGAUUCUCCGCAUGUAUUCCGUGUCCUAAAAUCAAGGACUUUUUUGGCCAACAUAGGAGAGAAUUGAACUGGAACUGGAGUGACUAAUCAAGGCUACCGUUUGGAAUCAAAGCCACAACCUUGGUUUGGGAACACAGAGACUGAAUUAUCUAUCCUACUAUACUUUGAUGCCCUGCUUGGUUGCAAAAAUUUGCCUCUUUGACCUGGAGGAUGUUUCUUACAUACAUUUGAUUUUUUUUUCCUUUUUCUUUUUCUCUGCUCUAACCAAUAAAUUGGAACUUAGGAAAAAAAAUAUAUCUUCCUUCAAUCCAAGUCUCGAUUUCUGGCCAUGUUAAGAUUUUUUUGUCGAGCAACAUCCAAUCUUUGAAAGCAUGGUCUUCUUUUGAUUCUAAGCCCCUCAUAAUAUAAUUUUUUUUCUAAUUAAUGUGUUUAAAAAUGUUAAAGAGAAUGAUUUGUAAGAUAAUCUUAUUCAUUUUGGUAGCUAUUUUGAAAAACAUGUAAAAUAUUUUUUUCAAAAAUAAUUUUAUAAAAUUAGAGAUCAUAAAAUAAAAGAAAUUAAAAAAAUAAAUAUUUUUUUAAAUAAUUGGUUAAAAAAGAUGAAAUACUUUUCAUAUUUGUGAAUUUAUUAUUUUCUAUAUUUUUAUUUGAAGAGUAACUUAUUUUUUACAUAAAUAUCCUUUUUUAUUUCAAGUAUUUAUAAUAUAUUUUAAAAGAAAUAAUUAUUUUUACACGAAAACAAUAAAGGUAUUUUUAUCAAAAUUAGGCCAAAAAAAUUAUUAAGGGUUAUAUUUUCAAAAUUAGGUUUCCAAUAACCAAUAACCUUUUAAUUAAAUAAUCCAUAAUUUUCCCGAGAUGGUAUAUGACUUUAUUAGAGAUAGAAUUUCUUAUAUUAAGAAGAAAAUUUCAAAGUUUAAAAUUACAUUCGGGUGAGUAUCUACAAUUAAGAUAUAAAAUGCAAAUUUCUAAAAUGAUGUAAUGAGAACCAUUAUAUAAUAUCAUAGCUUUUCUAUUUUUACCCCUUAAAUUUGUAAGAAAAAAUUAUUUAUUUUGAGAAGUUGAUUUAUAAAACAAUUUCAGGUCUCAUGAUAAAAGUUUAUUCUUUCACAUUCUGUUUUACAAAGGCAAGUCCCAAAUACAAUCAAUAAAAUAUAAAUUAUAAAAAUAUGAUGUUGGGGUCAAUUGGAAUUUCAACUAAAUGACAAAUUUUUAGUACAAUUUGGAAAAAAAAAUGUUUUAUUCUAUAAAAGGAAUUGAAAAAAAAUUCAAACUUCUCAUAAGUGAAUGGAUUUAAUUUUAUGUUUUAAGAAAGAAAAAUCAUAAAUUGAAACUUAAUUAUUAAUGUUCCCCUUGUUUUAAUGAUUGAAAAAGUAACUUAUAAUCUCUAGAAGAAUUAUAAUAAAUUUAGUAAUAAUUUAUUAAAUAAUAUUUAUAAAAAUUGUAUUUAUUUAUAAUUAAAUUAAGACCUCUUAAGAUUUAGUGUAAAUACACUAAAAUAUCAAAAGUAUUAAAUUUUAUCAUUUAGGAUUCCUAUAAAUGUAUUUCAUAUAUAAAUUUUAUAUUUUAAAUAAUAAAAUUUAAUUUUUAGAGGACCGUUAAAUACUACUUUCCAAAAUAUUUUUACUUAAAAUCUCUCUGAAAAAGGUAAAUUUGGUAAAUAAAAUAAAUUUAUUAAAGUAUUAAUUGAUGAAAUUUAAAACCGAUCAUGAUUGAGACAAAACCGUAGGCUUGAGUGAAAUUAACCCUUAAACAAACCAAAAAAAAAAAAGUCUCUCCUCUUGUGAGCAUCAAUGAGUAUGGUCCAAGUGAGUCAAGUGACUUCCUUGGACAAUAAAAAAGUUUCCAAUGCUUUACACACGUCCCUUUAUUACUGGAUGAAUUGAUUAUAGGGACAGAAGCGUCAUUACAAUGUGUUAACAUUGACCCGAGCAUCGACUUUGCCAAGAAUCAUUUCAGAUCUCGGAUCUCUGAUUCUCAAUUUACCUUUCCCAUUCCCAAACAACCACCAUCGCCCAUCGCUAGCUCUUCAAUUCCCUGCUUCUCUGCAACAUGGUUGAAUCAUUUGCCUUUGCCAUAGCUGACAGAGUUUUGGGGAAGUUGGGCUCUGCCCUCAUCCAAGAAGUUGGCCUUGCCUGGGGUGUUAAAACCGAGCUGGAAGAGCUCAACGAUACUUUAUCCACCAUCCGAGCGGUGCUCUUAGAUGCUGAGGAGAAGCAAGCCACCAGCCAUCAGCUGAGAGAUUGGCUGGGAAAGCUCAAAGUUGGCUUUUAUGAUGCUGAAGAUAUUGUCGAUGAAUUUGAAUAUGAGGCCUUACGCCAGAAAGUGGUGGCUAGUGGGAGUUUUAAAACCAAGGUAUGCAGUUUCUUUUCAAGUCCAAAGUCACUUGCAUUCAAUCUUAAGAUGGGUCAUAGGGUGAAGAAGAUAAGAGGGAGAUUGGAUAAAAUUGCAGCUGAUAAGUCAAAAUUUAAUCUCAUCGAGGCUGUUGCAAACACGCCUGUUGUGCUAAGCAAGAGGGAGAUGACCCACUCCUUUGUCCGAGCUUCCGAUGUUAUCGGGAGAGACGAUGAUAAAGAAAAUAUUGUUGGGCUUUUGAUGCAACCUAGCGUUACUGAGAAUGUUUCUGUAAUUCCCAUAGUUGGGAUUGGGGGGCUAGGCAAGACAACUCUGGCUAAACUUGUGUAUAAUGACGAGAGCGUAGUGGGGCAAUUCUCCACUAAAAUGUGGGUUUGUGUGUCAGAUGAGUUUGAUAUUGAAAAGCUUAUAAAGAAAAUCCUUAAGGAGAUCAGGAAAGGUGAUGAAAGUUACAGUGACUCCUCCAUGGAGCAGUUGCAGAGUCAUCUUAGAAAUGCAUUAGAUGGUGAAAAAUUCUUGCUGGUUUUGGAUGAUGUGUGGAAUACGGAUCGUGAGAAGUGGCUUAAGCUGAAAGACUUGCUCGUGGACGGUGCCAGUGGAAGCAAAAUUCUUGUAACUACACGCAAGAAGUCAACUGCUUCAAUCAUGGGCACUUUUCCCAUGCAAGAAAUAAAGGGUCUUUCUCAUGACGAUUGUUUAUCUUUAUUUGUGAAAUGCGCAUUUAGGGACGGAGAAGAUAAACAAUAUCCAACCCUUUUAAAAAUUGGGGACCAAAUUGUUGAGAAAUGUGCAGGGGUUCCUCUGGCUGUGAGAAGUUUAGGGAGUUUGCUGUAUUCGAAAAGGGGUGAACGGGAUUGGGUAUCCAUUAGAGAUAGCAAAAUAUGGGAAUUAGAACAAAAUGAAGAUGGUAUUAAUGAAGAUGGUAUUAUGGCUGCGUUAAGACUGAGCUAUUAUGAUUUGCCUUAUCACUUGAAACAAUGCUUUGCUCUUUGUUCCCUAUUUCCCAAAGAUUAUGAAUUUAGUAAUGUUGUUUUGAUCUCAACUUGGAUGGCAGAAGG
rnacentral:lncRNA from 1 species